GUGUCGGCGGCCGAGUGGUUCAGCGGCUGUUUGUGGGGCAGCUUUACGCGGGUUCAAAUCCCGUCCGACACC
rnacentral:tRNA from 1 species